rnacentral:rRNA from 1 species
AUUGAACGCUGGCGGCAGGCCUAACACAUGCAAGUCGAGCGAGCGGCGGACGGGUGAGUAAUGUAUGGGGCCUGCCCGUUAGAGGGGGAUAACUACUGGAAACGGUGGCUAAUACCGCAUACUAUCGGAUAACCCAUAUGGGAUUAGCUAGUAGGGGGGGUAAAGGCUCACCUAGGCGACGAUCUCUAGCUGGUCUGAGAGGAGGAUGAGCAACACUGGGACUGAGACACGGCCCAGACUCCUACGGGGGCAGCAGUGGGGAAUAUUGCACAAUGGGCGAAAGCCUGAUGCAGCCAGGCCGCGUGUAGGAAGAAGGUCUUAGGGUUGUAAAGUACUUUCAGCGGGGAGGCGUUACCCGCAGAAGAAGCAACGGCUAACUCCGUGCCAGCCGCCGCGGUAAUUC